AGAGUUUGAUCAUGGCUCAGGACGAACGCUGGCGGCGUGCCUAAUACAUGCAAGUCGAACGAGAAUUUCUUACACCGAGUGCUUGCACUCACCGUAAGAAAUUCGAGUGGCGGACGGGUGAGUAACACGUGGGUAACCUGCCCAAAAGAAGGGGAUAACAUUUGGAAACAAAUGCUAAUACCGUAUAACCAUGAUGACCGCAUGGUCAUUAUGUAAAAGGUGGUUCUGCUAUCGCUUUUGGAUGGACCCGCGGCGUAUUAACUAGUUGGUAGGGUAACGGCCUACCAAGGUGAUGAUACGUAGCCGAGUUGAGAGACUGAUCGGCCACAAUGGGACUGAGACACGGCCCAUACUCCUACGGGAGGCAGCAGUAGGGAAUCUUCCACAAUGGGCGCAAGCCUGAUGGAGCAACGCCGCGUGAAUGAAGAAGGUCUUCGGAUCGUAAAAUUCUGUUGUUAGAGAAGAAUAUGAGUAAUAGUAACUGAUUAUUCACUGACGGUAUCUAACCAGCAAGUCACGGCUAACUACGUGCCAGCAGCCGCGGUAAUACGUAGGUGGCAAGCGUUGUCCGGAUUUAUUGGGCGUAAAGGGAACGCAGGCGGUUUUUUAAGUCUGAUGUGAAAGCCUUCGGCUUAACCGGAGAUGUGCAUUGGAAACUGGAAGACUUGAGUGCAGAAGAGGAGAGUGGAACUCCAUGUGUAGCGGUGAAAUGCGUAGAUAUAUGGAAGAACACCAGUGGCGAAAGCGGCUCUCUGGUCUGUAACUGACGCUGAGGUUCGAAAGCAUGGGUAGCGAACAGGAUUAGAUACCCUGGUAGUCC
rnacentral:rRNA from 1 species